AUGUGCGAUUACACAGGCCAGAAAAAUGAUCCUCUACGGCACAGUCCUGACGACUUACCUCAGGAUGUCGUUGAUGACAUGACCAAGUCUCUUCUGAACGAGAGCCUGGCAGAUUGCGGGAAAGCGGGCUUAAGUCCUUUCUGCAAGGCUAACCCGGCUCCAGCGGCUGGUGAUAAAUUCUGGAAGGUCAAGUAUGACCAUGAGGCUGCAAAGAAAGCCAGAAAGGCCAAGAAAGCCGCCAGGAAAGCCGCUGCCCGUAAGAAGGGGAACAAACCUAGCGCCUCGGAUAUGUUUCAUCUGGACGAUACCUCCGAUUCAGAGGAGGAUACAGGAGCAAGUCAUGCAGUAAUUGAAGAGGUAACUAUAAUUUCCUCCGACUCCGAGCCUUUGCCGAGACAGAAAGUCCGAAGGGUAACCCGGAAAGCCGCCAUUAAGCAAUUUGAAUCGGAGAUCUCUGACUUGAAGAAUCGCCUGAAAACUCAAGAGAGUGAAACCCAAAAGGCGAAUUUCAAGUUUGAAUUCAGUGUAUCCGCACAAGAGAAAUUGAAAAAGAAGUUUGAAGCAGAGAGAAAGGCCUAG
rnacentral:rRNA from 1 species